ACUCCUACGGGAGGCAGCAGUGGGGAAUUUUGCGCAAUGGGGGAAACCCUGACGCAGCAACGCCGCGUGAGUGAUGAAGGCCUUCGGGUCGUAAAGCUCUGUCAGAGGGAAAGAAAUGCGGGAGGGUUAAUACCCCUUUUGCUUGACGGUACCCUCAAAGGAAGCACCGGCUAACUCCGUGCCAGCAGCCGCGGUAAUACGGAGGGUGCGAGCGUUGUUCGGAAUUAUUGGGCGUAAAGCGCGUGUAGGCGGUCUUUUAAGUCUGAUGUGAAAGCCCCGGGCUCAACCUGGGAAGUGCAUUGGAAACUGGGAGACUUGAAUACGGGAGAGGGUAGUGGAAUUCCUAGUGUAGGAGUGAAAUCCGUAGAUAUUAGGAGGAACACCGGUGGCGAAGGCGGCUGCCUGGACCGAUACUGACGCUGAGACGCGAAAGCGUGGGGAGCAAACAGGAUUAGAUACCCUGGUAGUCCACGCCGUAAACGAUGAGAACUAGGUGUCGCGGGUA
rnacentral:rRNA from 1 species